GUCCCUGUAGCGUAAUGGAUAGUGCGUUGGAUUUCAAAUCCAAAGAUCGUGGUUUCGAAAAUCCCACCUGGGAUA